rnacentral:rRNA from 1 species
UUGCCUACGGGGGGCAGCAGUGGGGAAUCUUGCACAAUGGGGGAAACCCUGAUGCAGCGACGCCGCGUGAGCGAUGAAGCCCUUCGGGGUGUAAAGCUCUUUCGGCAGGAACGAUAAUGACGGUACCUGCAGAAGAAGCUGCGGCUAACUACGUGCCAGCAGCCGCGGUAAUACGUAGGCAGCAAGCGUUGUUCGGGGUUACUGGGCGUAAAGAGUGCGUAGGCGGUCCUCUAAGUUCGGUGUGAAAUCUCCCGGCUCAACUGGGAGGGUGCGCCGGAAACUGGAGGGCUUGAGUAUGGGAGAGGAAAGCGGAAUUCCUGGUGUAGCGGUGAAAUGCGUAGAUAUCAGGAGGAACACCUGUGGUGUAGACGGCUUUCUGGACCAUGACUGACGCUGAGGCACGAAAGCGUGGGGAGCAAACAGGAUUAGAUACCCCGGUAGUCCA